UUGGUUUAAAUUAUUGUGUGUCUAUACUUAGAAAAUUGAACUCACACAAAGUAGUAGGACAUACAUUGAUUGCAUCAAA
rnacentral:pre_miRNA from 1 species